rnacentral:rRNA from 1 species
AGAUUGAACGCUGGCGGCAUGCCUAACACAUGCAAGUCGAACGGGAGUAGCAAUACUCUAGUGGCGGACGGGUGAGGAAUACGUAGGAAUUUGCCCUUAAGUGGGGGAUAACCCGGGGAAACCCGGAUUAAUACCGCAUGACCUCGAAAGAGCAAAGUGGGGGAUCGCAAGACCUCACGCUUUUGGAGAAGCCUACGUCGGAUUAGCUAGUUGGUGAGGUAAUGGCUCACCAAGGCGACGAUCCGUAACUGGUCUGAGAGGAUGAUCAGUCACACCGGAACUGAGACACGGUCCGGACUCCUACGGGAGCAGCAGUGGGAAUAUUGGACAAUGGGCGCAAGCCUGAUCCAGCAAUGCCGCGUGUGUGAAGAAGGCCUUCGGUUGUAAAGCUACGUUUAAGGUUAGGGAAAGAAAAACUCGACGUCUAACACAGUGAGUCUUGACGGUACCGACAGAAUAACGACACCGGACUAACUCUGUCGCCAGCA